rnacentral:rRNA from 1 species
GACGAACGCUGGCGGCGUGCCUAAUACAUGCAAGUAGAACGCACAGUUUAUACCGUAGCUUGCUACACCAUAGACUGUGAGUUGCGAACGGGUGAGUAACGCGUAGGUAACCUGCCUGGUAGCGGGGGAUAACUAUUGGAAACGAUAGCUAAUACCGCAUAAUAUUAAUUAUCGCAUGAUAAUUAAUUGAAAGGUGCAAUUGCACCACUACCAGAUGGACCUGCGUUGUAUUAGCUAGUAGGUGAGGUAACGGCUCACCUAGGCGACGAUACAUAGCCGACCUGAGAGGGUGAUCGGCCACACUGGGACUGGGACACGGCCCAGACUCCUACGGGAGGCAGCAGUAGGGAAUCUUCGGCAAUGGACGAAAGUCUGACCGAGCAACGCCGCGUGAGUGAAGAAGGUUUUCGGAUCGUAAAGCUCUGUUGUAAGAGAAGAACGGGUGUGAGAGUGGAAAGUUCACACUGUGACGGUAUCUUACCAGAAAGGGACGGCUAACUACGUG